rnacentral:rRNA from 1 species
UACAGAGGUCUCAAGCGUUGCUCGGAUUCAUUGGGCGUAAAGGGUGCGUAGGCGGCUCGGUAAGUCGGGUGUGAAAUUUCGAGGCUUAACUUCGAAACUGCAUUCGAUACUGCCGUGCUUGAGGACUGGAGAGGAGACUGGAAUUUACGGUGUAGCGGUGAAAUGCGUAGAUAUCGUAAGGAAGACCAGUGGCGAAGGCGGGUCUCUGGGCCGUAACUGACGCUGAGGAGCGAAAGCAUGGGGAGCGAACAGG